rnacentral:misc_RNA from 1 species
UUACGUUCUUGCCAACGAGGGAGGAACUCAAGUGUUGACGCGCUUCACCGCCACCCAUCAGCUUCGGGGGCUUCGCACUUGCCGUGUGUGGCCGCGAACCACCCCCGCUCUUUUACAUUUUUUUCCACUUAAACUUUAGCGCGACGCUGCAGGGCGAUCGCUCCGCUUCUCACCGAGCUUGCCCGAAGACGUGGAGACUGCAUAGCCCGACGAUGAUUCUCAUAACAUCCAACUGCGCAAGAGUCGCUGCAUUUGCAAGAAAGGCAGCAUGCCGCGGCGCUCUCUGUGACCGGCACCGCUGCAUAAGCGGGGGCGGUCGCGGGGACUUGUUCACGCGACACGCCAGCGCCUUCAAGCCCCCCGCGUUCGGCGUGCUCCGAGGCCUGACGCACUCCUCCCAGACGACGCACCCACAGACCGGUCAGCUGCGGGCUCGCAAACUCAUCCAGCACGCCAUGCAUGACCGAACGUUGUCGGGCAGCGGUCAUCACCGCACCGCCGUCGCAACAUGGUCAUACCUGCUUCCCUCCCUUCGCCAAAAUGUUGAGCAGGCGGUGCCAGAUACGUUGUACGAAAAACUGCUCACUGACGAGGUACCGCUUACGCCAGCGGAGUCUCGGCAACUCGCGGACGCGCAUCGUCUUCUCCGCUUUGAGCUGCAGAAGCGAAUUGGGCUGCUCGAGGACAGCCUGGCAGACGCUGCACUUCCCUAUCUGUUGCAGUGGCCCGCGCUCUUCCAGCGUGCGUGGCUGCGCUUGCCCAUGGACCAGGGCAGCGCAUCGGUGACAGACGCGAAGCGCGAUGCCGUCGUCCCGGCCCCGCCAUCCUUCGUGCAUGCCCCGGCUGCUCUCCCCAUCACCGAGUGGGCGCCGACGUUGUCCCCUGCAUCGCCCCCCGCGUGCUCGAACGGGCUGAUCGGGCGUGGCGCUCUUGUCCCCCGUCUGGCACAACUCACCAGGCACGUGAUACGCUGCGUCGAGGAGGACCUGGGCCGGCUUGAGCAUGGCUCUGAGCCACGAGAGGACGGGGCACCACGCAGUCGUCGUCAGGUUACCCUUGAGGCGGCGUGGCGAGCACAGUGGGCAUCCUUGCUCAGCUGGCACGCUGGUACGUCGUAGUACGGGAUGGGGUAAGAGGAUAGCGAGGCGAUCACUAGGUGCUGCAGGGAGAAGAAUGAAAGAGCCGGAGAGUGCACGCCGCCGGCCCGCUUACUCAGGCAAGUGCCAAGGCCGCUUCACUGCGCUUGCCUGGUGUGCACCGGCAGAGGGAAGCUGACGCGCGCAUACGCACGCUCCACAGGCCAAGAGCGAAGAGAGAUCUGUGAGGCGCGCACGUCUGUGCGUGCCGGAGCUGUGUGGCUCCGUGCUCUGUUUGUUUCUCCUCUGCUCACCUUUGAGUGCCCUCAUGUGUUUCGCUGCCUACGAGCCGUGUGCCACGCACGGCGGCGGGCGUCACGCGCGUGUGCCGGUUUGAACAACGGGGAAAAACUCAGGAAAAUGAAUAACAAAG